GCGGCGGGAGGGGCCGGCGCUUCGGCGAGCGGCGCCCCCGCGCGGCGUGGCGCGGCGCCUCCGCCGAAGCGGAGCCGCGGCCAGGCUUCCCCCGGCUCCUCCGGGGCCGAAGCGACCGCCGUGUGCUAAGCGCAGCCGCGGAAACUUUCCUGUCUCUUACCGGCACCCCCAUCUCGCCUCCUCACCAGCCCCGGGAAAGGCAGGCGGGUUUGACGGGAGGCUGCCGGGGCGCCCGGCCUGGCGCCCCUCAGGCGAUUCCCGCCGCAAGCUGCGUGUACGCCUGAGGUACCGCCUAAUAACGCCUGAGGUACAGCCUAAUAACUUACAUACGCAACCGCUCGGCUUCAAUGCGAUAGUGCCGUAUUUCCUAUUCGGCUCUUUAUUUAGGACACACGCGCGUGCUGAAUGCAGCCUCCGGGAUGAACGCCUUUUUGCGCCGGUUCAGCUAGGGUCAGGCAGAACCUGGCUAGUGCUUACGGUUCAUGAGAGAACUACCGUUUCUGUUAAUCUAGCCAUUCAAGUGACAUGAAAACUCACAGGCUGAGGGGUAACAAGUAAGAAUGUCGACUGUAAACCCCAGAUUUUUUAGAGUUAAUAAUAGCACUGCAGAGAAAGUAGAUAAGAGCAUGCUACUCGGUGUGGUGAUCCUGCAGGUAGCGAUGUCAACUCUGGAACAAGUUUUUAAAUCUGAGGGGGACUAAUCUCAAACCAGUUAUGUAAAGUCAUUCUGAACUCAUAGGAGCUCCGUUAUUUAUGGAAGAACAGCACUUGAAGCUCGCAGUGAGACAGUCAUUCUAAAAAUUUGUUCCAGAGAAAGGAAAUUAAUAUUAGCAAUAGGAUUCAACCUCAGAAAUAUAUGAAAACACAUCAAGACCACAUGAACGUGAUCAGACUGUUAACAGGGUGAGACAAAUACUACUUUAAACAGCAUACAGAUAUAUUGUGGAGCUUAAUGCAAGAAGAUAUUACAAAACUAGGAAUAGUUUAAGGAAAAGAUUUAAGUAAACUAAUAAAGGAAAAGUCCAUCAGCAACUGUUACCCCUCUGGUUCUGUUACAGUCUGUGUUUCAGGCUUGCAAGCUCCCUCCUGCUGUGGUUGAGGAAAAUCUGAAGAGCUCUACUUGGAUCUGUUUUUACUUGAUUUGAAUAGCAAACAGAUACAUGAGAUCACCCUCAUCCAAAUAAUGAUGUGUCAAAUGCAUUUUAGGUUUGUUAAAUAUGUGAUAAACCACAGAGUUCAGUCCAGAGCAUGCAAGCAGCACAAGAAGAUUUAUUAUUUAGCACCUUUUUCACAUUGUAAGAGACAAAUGCCACACCUGUACCCCAUUACUAUAUAUAUAUAUGCUUACCUUUCCUGCAAGCAUUUUUAACAUCAAAGAUUCAAUGGUGUUGGCUGUUCAAAGCCAUUCCUAUCAUAGGGAAGUGGCAAUGCAAGAAAACAUGACAAGAAAUUGUGAACAGAGGUCCCGCUGCCAUUCUGUUAGGAAGCAGAUCAAAGGCUUUUAUGAAAGAAAGGGAAUAUUUCCUGAAUGGUUCAAGUGCAUAGCAACAUGAUGUAAUUCAUAACAUAAGUGCAAUUUAUGAACAUUCCUCUUAUUCUGAAGCUUGGCAGGAACUGUACUUCACUGG